rnacentral:rRNA from 1 species
UACGGAGGGGGCUAGCGUUGUUCGGAAUUACUGGGCGUAAAGCGCACGUAGGCGGCUUUGUAAGUUAGAGGUGAAAGCCGGGGCUCAACUCCGGAAUUGCCUUUAAGACUGCAUCGCUAGAAUUGUGGAGAGGUAAGUGGAAUUCCGAGUGUAGAGGUGAAAUUCGUAGAUAUUCGGAAGAACACCAGUGGCGAAGGCGACUUACUGGACACAUAUUGACGCUGAGGUGCGAAAGCGUGGGGAGCAAACAGG